rnacentral:pre_miRNA from 1 species
CAAGGAGCUUGUUUAACAGCUGAGUGAUUUAAAGCAAUCAAAUUCCUCCAGCUUUAAAUCAUGCAGCUGUUGAACAAUCUCUUGC